rnacentral:rRNA from 1 species
AGCAUAUCAAUAAGCGGAGGAAAAGAAACUAACAAGGAUUCCCCUAGUAACUGCGAGUGAAGAGGGAAAAGCUCAAAUUUAAAAUCUGACUUCCUUUGGUUGUCCGAGUUGUAAUCUAGAGAAGUGUCAUCCGCGCCGGACCGUGUACAAGUCUCCUGGAACGGAGCGUCAUAGAGGGUGAGAAUCCCGUCUUCAACACGGACUACCGGGGCUUUGUGAUGCGCUCUCAAAGAGUCGAGUUGUUUGGGAAUGCAGCUCAAAAUGGGUGGUAAAUUCCAUCUAAAGCUAAAUAUUGGCGAGAGACCGAUAGCGAACAAGUACCGUGAGGGAAAGAUGAAAAGAACUUUGGAAAGAGAGUUAAACAGUACGUGAAAUUGCUGAAAGGGAAACGCUUGAAGUCAGUCGCGUUGGUCGAGAAUCAGCCCUGCUUUUGCAUGGCUUAUUUCGCGGUUCAACGGGUCAGCAUCAAUUUUGACCAUUGGAUAAAGAUGAGAGGAAUGUGGCAUCUUCGGAUGUGUUAUAGACUCUUGUUGCAUACAGUGGUUGGGAUUGAGGAACUCAGCACGCCGCAAGGCCGGGAGCAAUCCACGUUCGUGCUUAGGAUGCUGGCAUAAUGGCUUUAAUCGACCCGUCUUGAAACACGGACCAAGGAGUCUAACAUGCCUGCAAGUGUUUGGGUGUAAAACCCAUGCGCGCAAUGAAAGUGAAAGUUGAGAUCCCUGUCGUGGGGAGCAUCGACGCCCGGACCAGACCUUUUGUGACGGAUCCGCGGUAGAGCAUGUAUGUUGGGACCCGAAAGAUGGUGAACUAUGCCUGAAUAGGGUGAAGCCAGAGGAAACUCUGGUGGAGGCUCGUAGCGAUUCUGACGUGCAAAUCGAUCGUCAAAUUUGGGUAUAGGGGCGAAAGACUAAUCGAACCAUCUAGUAGCUGGUUCCUGC